GAUGAACGCUGGCGGCGUGCCUAAUACAUGCAAGUCGAGCGAACAGACGAGGAGCUUGCUCCUCUGACGUUAGCGGCGGACGGGUGAGUAACACGUGGAUAACCUACCUAUAAGACUGGGAUAACUUCGGGAAACCGGAGCUAAUACCGGAUAAUAUAUUGAACCGCAUGGUUCAAUAGUGAAAGACGGUUUUGCUGUCACUUAUAGAUGGAUCCGCGCCGCAUUAGCUAGUUGGUAAGGUAACGGCUUACCAAGGCAACGAUGCGUAGCCGACCUGAGAGGGAGGUCGGCCACACUGGAACUGAGGCACGGUCCAGACUCCUACGGGAGGCAGCAGUAGGGAAUCUUCCGCAAUGGGCGAAAGCCUGACGGAGCAACGCCGCGUGAGUGCUGAAGGUCUUCGGAUCGUAAAACUCUGUUAUUAGGGAAGAACAAAUGUGUAAGUAACUAUACACGUCUUGACGGUACCUAAUCAGAAAGCCACGGCUAACUACGUG
rnacentral:rRNA from 1 species